GAUGAACGCUGGCGGCGUGCCUAAUACAUGCAAGUCGAGCGAACAGAUGAGGAGCUUGCUCCUCUGACGUUAGCGGCGGACGGGUGAGUAACACGUGGAUAACCUACCUAUAAGACUGGGAUAACUUCGGGAAACCGGAGCUAAUACCGGAUAAUAUAUUGAACCGCAUGGUUCAAUAGUGACAGACGGUUUUGCUGUCACUUAUAGCUGGAUCCGCGCCGCAUUAGCUAGUUGGUAAGGUAACGGCUUACCAAGGCAACGAUGCGUAGCCGACCUGAGAGGGUGAUCGGCCACACUGGAACUGAGACACGGUCCAGACUCCUACGGGAGGCAGCAGUAGGGAAUCUUCCGCAAUGGGCGAAAGCCUGACGGAGCAACGCCGCGUGAGUGAUGAAGGUCUUCGGAUCGUAAAACUCUGUUAUUAGGGAAGAACAAAUGUGUAAGUAACGAUGCACGUCUUGACGGUACCUAAUCAGAAAGCCACGGCUAACUACGUG
rnacentral:rRNA from 1 species